AGGAACAAAAAAGUGGAGACAAUGUUUCGGCUCCUCUCUGAGCCUUUGUUAAGUCUGAGAGGAGCCGAUACAUUGUCUUCACUUUUUUGUUCCUAAUAAAAGACU
rnacentral:miRNA from 1 species